rnacentral:RNase_P_RNA from 1 species
AGCAACUUUUGGAUAGUACUCUGAUAGAUAUCGGAGAGGAAAGUCCCAACGUCAAAAAAACACUACCUUGUAACGCAAGUUGAACUCCAUGGAGAAUGGAUAAAAGAAAGUGCCACAGAGACAAUACUACUCAAUCAUGAGGAAAGGUGAAAAGCACAAGAUGGUAACUUUCUCGAAAGAUAUCUACUUGUAUCUGAGUUUGUCUGAUGGGCAAGCCAGUGGUAAACCUUAGUGGACGCAAGCUUUUUCAGCCAUGUUGCUGGAAGGUGCUAGAUUCUUGAUCACUCAAGACCAGACAAAUGCUAUCAAAAACAGAAUUGGGCUUACGGAAAGUUGCUUCCC